rnacentral:rRNA from 1 species
UGGGGAAUAUUGGACAAUGGGCGAAAGCCUGAUCCAGCCAUGCCGCGUGUGUGAAGAAGGUCUUCGGAUUGUAAAGCACUUUAAGUUGGGAGGAAGGGCAGUAAGCGAAUACCUUGCUGUUUUGACGUUACCGACAGAAUAAGCACCGGCUAACUCUGUGCCAGCAGCCGCGGUAAUACAGAGGGUGCAAGCGUUAAUCGGAAUUACUGGGCGUAAAGCGCGCGUAGGUGGUUCGUUAAGUUGAAUGUGAAAGCCCCGGGCUCAACCUGGGAACUGCAUCUGAAACUGGCGAGCUAGAGUAGGGCAGAGGGUGGUGGAAUUUCCUGUGUAGCAGUGAAAUGCGUAGAUAUAGGAAGGAACACCGGUGGCGAAGGCGACCACCUGGGCUCAUACUGACACUGAGGUGCGAAAGCGUGGGGAGCAAACAGG